rnacentral:misc_RNA from 1 species
GUAACUUUCCCACGUUGACGAGAGCUAUCCUUCCAUCGCUGGCAGAAGACACAAGCCAUGGAAACUCAAAUGCAAGUGACAAAACCGGGCCGGAAUGAGGAGUCCAGGUAGCAACCGGCUUGAAGUCAUCUUCGUCACUGUAGUUGGCAACAUCAAACAUGUGUAUCGAACCAUCUUCGCCGCCCGUAAACAACAGAUCCCCAACAUGGCUCCGAGCUAGAGCAUGUGC